rnacentral:rRNA from 1 species
CCUACGGUGCAGCAGCAGUGGGGAAUAUUGGACAAUGGGCGAAAGCCUGAUCCAGCCAUGCCGCGUGUGUGAAGAAGGCCUUCGGGUUGUAAAGCACUUUCAGUGGGGAAGAAAGCCUUGGGGCUAAUACCCUCGAGGAAGGACAUCACCCACAGAAGAAGCACCGGCUAACUCCGUGCCAGCAGCCGCGGUAAUACGGAGGGUGCGAGCGUUAAUCGGAAUUACUGGGCGUAAAGCGCGCGUAGGCGGUCUGAUAAGCCGGUUGUGAAAGCCCCGGGCUCAACCUGGGAACGGCAUCCGGAACUGUCAGGCUAGAGUGCAGGAGAGGAAGGUAGAAUUCCCGGUGUAGCGGUGAAAUGCGUAGAGAUCGGGAGGAAUACCAGUGGCGAAGGCGGCCUUCUGGACUGACACUGACGCUGAGGUGCGAAAGCGUGGGUAGCAAACAGGAUUAGAUACCCCGGUAGUC